UACAGAGGUCUCAAGCGUUGUUCGGAUUCAUUGGGCGUAAAGGGUGCGUAGGUGGCGCUGUAAGUCGGGUGUGAAAUUUCGGAGCUUAACUCCGAAACUGCAUUCGAUACUGCGGUGCUUGAGGACUGGAGAGGAGACUGGAAUUCCUGGUGUAGCGGUGAAAUGCGCAGAUAUCAGGAGGAACACCGGUGGCGAAGGCGGGUCUCUGGGCCGAUACUGACGCUGAGGAGCGAAAGCAUGGGUAGCGAACAGG
rnacentral:rRNA from 1 species